GAGAGAUGAAUCUGGAUGUCUCUCGCAGUCAUACGGUCUUUGAGUAAAAUCUAUGACUAGAGACACAUUCAGCUUUAUUACUCG
rnacentral:pre_miRNA from 1 species